UGAAUUAGCCUGGUCUGCAACAUUUCAGCCACUUGAGAUUCAAUUUCAUCCUCCAUUGUCAGAGAGAACCGAUAGGGUUAGAUGCUGACUAGUCUGGCACCUUCAAUAAGGGGAUAGAAUGGUCACAAAAUCGACUGGGCGACAAUGUAGCGGGUUGCUGGAACAGGCUCACAUAAUUGCGGAGCAGCUGCACAACUGGAGCAGGCAAAAACAACUCCUCAAUAGAACGCAGUUUGGCUGAUGCAGGUUCCGUUACCAUCACCGGCCAGAGCUCCAGUAUAGUGCCGACAGGAACCAAUGGUUGACAACCUUGUAACACCACUGUGGAACCUGAAUGUGGUAAGGAGAGCCAUUUAUGUUUCCAGUCAACUAUCAUUGGGCUAAACAUCUCCAGCCAAUCCAUGCCCAAUAUAACAUCAUAAUAUGGAACAGGGAUAACUUUAAAGGAGCAGCAGAAUUCGAGACCAUGGACAGACCAUCUAGCUUGUGGUAGCUCCACUGUACAUUGCACAACUUCACCAUUAGCCACAGUAACAGAUAGGGGAGUAUCCAGACGCACCAACCCGGACAAGACAGAAGUAUGAUUAGCACUCAGGAAGCAAUGAGAGCUACUAGAGUCUAAUAAAAUUAGCACAUCAAUGCCUUGAAGUUGACCGCGAAGUCAAAAUGAUUUAGAGGUAGUCUUGGUAGAAGCUGCUUCAAUUGAUAGCAAUAUCAUGAAUUGUUCAGCAAAAUCUACAAAUUCUGCCUCAGAUUUAGGUUGAUCCGACGACAACAUUUCCCAUAGCUCUUGAACAACAUGCAACUACACGGUUUCAACACAUUUGUGUCCCUUGCUCCACUUCUCGGCACAAAACUGACAAAGGCCCCUGGCACGAAGAUAUGCUCUUAGAGAAGCAACCUUACUGUCGAUGGAUGAUGUAGGAGUAGGAGCUAUCCACUUGGAACUGUCAAUCGGUGCCUUCCCCAAACGUUGAUUAACAACAGCUGCUUAUUUAGAAGGUCCCCAGGCAGGAUAGUGAGGAUCACCACGACCAGACUCUCGGUGGCGAGAGGAUUCCACCUCUUCCUGCAGCAAUGCCAAAGCACAGGCAGUAUCGAGGUUGCCAGGGCAUUGAACAAGGACAACAGAUUUAAUAUUAUCAUGGAGACCAUCAAUGAACUUCAUCAUAUAAUAGAGGGGAUUAGUGGUGUGUUCAUAUGUGACCAGUAGAUCGACUAGUUCACAAAAACGAUCUACAUAAUCUUGGAUAGUGGAGAUUUGCGUGAUGUGAAAAAGUUAGCGUAUAACUAGCUCAUGUUGGUCACGACCAAACCUAUCCUGGAUAGACUGGCAAAAUUGGCACCAAGACAUGGAAGCAAUUUGUGGUUCUACAGAUUGUAACCAACGAUCAGCGACUCCCUCGAAGUGCAUUGUGGCAACUUGAACCCACAUAUUGACCUCAGUAGCAUACAUAUUGAAGUACUUUUCAGAUUUGGACUGCCAUAAUUUGGGAUUGGUACCAUCAAACGAUGGAAAAUUAAGUUUAGGCAAAUUCCCCAUCUGGCGAGAUACUUCAUGGAAACCCCCACUACCUGGAUGAUGAAAGGAGAAUGGCUGGGACGAGUGGGGGUUGUACAUACCCUUGACUGGGUAGCGGACAUUGGCACCAGGAUGCCAAGGCCCGCUAUCCCGGUGAUAGAAGUCGUCGUAGUGCCCAAAUCUGGGGCCGUCGGCGCCAUCUCUGGUGACAAUGGGCGUACCAGUGCCGACUCGCGGGAACCCAGCACACCCGGCAUGUGGGAGCCGUCGACGCGCGCAUUCUGCAACCAUCGGAUAACCAUCUUCGCCAAUUUAGAUCGGACCCACACCAUGGAAGAGUGGAGAUCAUCGAGGGACGAAUCAACCCAGGGGCGCUAGAUCUCGAAGUGGUUCAUGUUGGAUUCGAGGGCCGCCAACCGGUUACCCGAUUCGGCCUCGAUCUGACCGAGCUUGGCGUCGGUUGCGGCGUCCGCGGCGGUGAGAUGAUCCUCCACAUCCGCGUGGAAGGAUGUUGAGAAGUCAGAUAAGGAGCAUGCUGCAUCGGACGCACGCGACUCCUAGGUGCCUACUCGAGACUCUCAUUUGGCGUCGAGCACCUGAAGCCGUUUGUCCAGCUCCGACAGGAGUGCGCGAGUUUGGGAUUCGAGUGCAAGAGUUAGGGUAGAAUCGAUCGGUGAAGGGGACGCCAUAGAUUGCUGAGGAUCGAAGGAAGCUGAUACCAGAUUGUUAGCUACUAGGAAGACAGGGCGAGAGAGAGUAGCUUGGGGAAGAAGAAGAUAGGCAGAGGAACCAGGCGUUCUUAGAUAAUUGGAAUAAUGUUCAAUACAUGCAUAGUCCUUACACCAAACUGGGAGACUUAUUUAAUACCGACCUCCGCCACGAGGCCCACCUGACAGAUCGCCCACAUGACGGACUCCCUCAAGCGCCCACUCAGGACCACUGACCCGGACAUUGGCGCGCCGCUUCCAAACACCACGCACGACCGUUUGUGUUUGAUCAGGAUUCUGCGCUUGCUCAGGUGACGAGGUGGUAACAUCCACCAUCAGUUAUCACGCAUAACCAGUUGGCGGCCUCUUAGCUCUUUUUUCCCCUCCUAGCGCCUCUUCCUCUCCCCCUCGCCCUAUAAAAUGCACCCCACAUCGUCAUGGAGCCAGUUCGGAUUUCCUCUUCCCUUCCCUUGCUCAUUUCUCCUCCGUACUUGCUACUUAUUGUGUCGCGCCGCGUCUGCUCUGCUUGUUGCUGGUCGCUGCGUGGUGCACGUCAUCAUGCCAUUGCUAUUGUCGUGUCGUCUGAGUUUGUGGAUGCCUUUGCUGCUCAACCUUCGUGCCUCGCCCGUUACCUGCACUACGCCACUACUCGUCUCUGCACGCCAUCGUCGGAGCUGCUACGCUGCUCGACGUCGUCGGUGUUCUGCUCCGUGUUGUAUCGCUCCACCAUUGUCUCGCUGCUCGUGGUCGUGCCAUCGUCGCGCCAACAGCUACGUCAUUGUCUCUGCCACGCCAGAGCCCUGACAUAUGUACCCCCAAUCGUUGUCUACAUCGUCCUUGUUGCUGCUUGAAUGAUGUCGCUUAUCAUCGUCAUUCCGAGCAUGCCUCCAGUGCUUCCCGUAUGACUACGACAUCGCAGCCACCGCUCGUCCUCUCCUGGUGCCAUGCGCCAGUGACUUGCCGUAUCUAUUUGUCCAUCGAUGGCGUUCUGUUCAACGUCUUCCACACCACCGAGCUUCACUGGAGAUCCCCGUCGUUGCGCUGUGACUCCCUUGCCUGUGCCCCGAGCUUCACUGGAAAUGCCUCUAUUUUUUCUCUUUGAUAAAGAUUUCCCCCUAACUCACUCCAUAUCCUUGGAUGUAUCAUCUAUUCUCACUUCACCAGUUCAUGGUUAUCUUAUUUCGCUCUUGACCAUCAACAAUAAUGUCUUGCUCUUAUCUAACACCUUGCUAUUCUACUAUGAUUCCUUGAUUUUAUAAUCUUUCUUUCUUUUUACUCCUAACCUUGUCUCACCUUUCAAAAAAAUUGUGAUAAAACCAUUAUCCUUAGAAAAAAGUUCCUCUUUUGGUUGAUCAAGUAGCAUCAAGUUGUGUUGUGUUGGUGUGCUUAAGUUCAUGUUUGUUGUCUUUGUGUACGUGUUUGAUUUGCUUCUUUGUAAUGAUUGUUGGUGUAUUGUGUGACUUCUGUCCACAAUGACAUCAUUUUACUAGGUAAAACCUUAGAUAGUUGGCUCUUCUCUAAUCUCCGUACCUUAUCUUUGCUCAAUCUUUUUUAUCCCCUCCUUCCUUUCUAUACCCAAAUAGAAAAAAUAAAUUAGGAUUAGUUGUUUAAUCUACAAGCACCCAAUCAACCAUCAUCUGCUGGUAGACAAACGAAGUUGACUCGUAUUAAAUCUUGGGAAGAAUUAGAGCGGAAAUUUCAUGUACACUUCUUCUCAGGAGAACAUGAGUUAGAAUUAGCUGAUUUAGCUUCAAUCCGACAGGGGCCUGAAGAAUCAGUUAAUGACUAUAUCCGGAGGUUCCGAGACACUAGAAACCUAUGCUUUUAGAUCCAUGUCGCAAAAAAACAACUAACAGGGCUGGCCUUCAAUGGGUUGCGACCUUACUUAAAAUAGAAAUUAGAUGUCACCCAAUUCUUUUUGCUAGUACACUUGCACCAGCGGGCUUUGACCUAUGAAAGACGAAAUAAAGAAGCAUCAAAUCGGCUAGCCAUAAGAUGCAUCUAGUGGGGUGCGAUAAUUCAGAUGAUGAAUCCACGGAUGUAUAUGCCGCCGAACUUGUUUGGCCAGCAUAGGCUAAAUCGUCUGCAUGUUUUGCUUUACAGUUGAUUCGAAAGAAUCGACAAGAAGAAGUUAAGUUUACUUCUAAUGUUGUCAAAUGCGAUAAAGUAUUUGACGAGUUAUUAAAAAAUGGCAACAUUAAAUUAACUCAUACUAUUCCUCCUAUGGAGGAAUUAAAGAGACAUGCUUAUUAUAAGUGACAUAAUUCUUUUUCCCAUGCCACCAAUGAUUGUAACGUUUUUCGUCAACAGAUACAAUCGGUCAUAAAUGAGGGCCGAUUGACUUUUCAUGAGAUGCAAGUGGACACACAACAAUUUCCUGUCAAUACAAUAGAACCCACAUGCAAAAGGGUCUUGGUUCAGCCCGAAGUGGCCGAUAAAGGCAAAGACGAAAACACCAUCAUUACCGAUCUUCGCACGUCAAAUAUAUCACAAGAAGGGAUUGCUCGGAAAGCUCCGGACAGAAAGACUAACAAGUCCGAAGGCACCAGGGGGCAGGCUAAACCAAGCAGCCGAGCAAAACUCCUGGACUCGAGCAUCGUAGACUGUCCGGCACCUAGGUGCGGACGAUCCGGUGCUCAUGCGGACGGUCCAGCUGACUCACCCAGGUAGUCCGCCCAUGGCCAUAAGCGUCAGCCUCCACACAAAGCAAGGAAAGAGACACAAGGGCAAAGUCAACAUGGCACACAUGGUCGGCUGGUAAAGUUGGCCCUACUUUCGAUUAGUUGCUAGCCAAAUAUGCUGGCAAGAAGGCCGUCCUACACAAUCGGCCAACAAAGAAACCUCGGUCACCCACUAAAACAAAACGACCGAGUAAAACGGCCCAAAAGACGAUGCAACAAGCAUCGCCUAUUCGUCGUGUCAUGCAAGGAUGCUUUCCACCCACCUACUCAUCGUUGAUGUGUUGUCCUGUUCAAAUAUGGAAUGGUACGACGAUGAACCCAUGGUAUAUGCGUACUCCCUUUGUCUAUCCAAGCUGGGGUCACCUCCAUUUUAUUCCUUUUGAUCCAUUGAUCAAAUGGUCAUGGCCGAGAAAGAUGCAAUCCUGAAUGGCCUUUAUGCAUUGGGGCACUAUUUAAUGAUCACCAUAUUGGAUUGGAAAAGCUGGUGACUUGCAUCAGGCUUAGUUCAUAUGCUUUUGGUUCGUCAACCUCCACCAAAAGGCAGGAGGCAUAGUGUGUUGGCACUGAUCCGAGCGCCAAUCACUAUGUUGAGAACCAGCGGCUGUGCGCUUUGCGUAGGCGUGGACGGUCCGAGGCCAGGGGUCGGACGGUCCAUGACUUAGCACAGAGGCUAGUGUUCCUGCCUGACAAGCCAGACGGUCCGCGCUAUAAGUCGGACGGUCCACGCGUGUGCAGGGGCGGUGGAGUUCACCGGCAGCGCCUGGAUCUCACUCCCGAGAGGGACCCCGUCGGGGAGGAAAGGUCCUAGGCUUUGUCUAUGGUCGGUAGGCCGACCUAGACACCUCUAAUCGACGUAGAGCCGAAGAGAAGUGGAGAAUUUGGGGAUUGAGAGGCUAAACUAGAACUAAAAUAGAGCUACUCCUACAUGUACAAGAUAAAAUGUGAAUUGUAUUGAUUGUAGGUUCGGUUGUUUAUCCUUCCAAUCGGCCGUAUUCCUCUAUAUUUAUAGAGGAGGGGGUCUGGACCCUUACAUACCAAUCUCCCGAGUUAAUUCCACGAAUUUAGCUAACAACCGUCGCAAGAAACUCGGAACCCUAAUUGGCUCUAUGUGCGCGGACCGUCCGCGCUACUGACGCGGACCGUCUGGACCGCAGACUGUCCAGCCUCAGUGUGGCGGAACCACCCAGAUUAUUCCAGCUUAAGCGCCUGACUCACGCCUUGGAGGUAGCAACACACUUAAAUCGGAAUAACCCGUCAGUCCCUCGGAUCUAGUCCGCUAAAGCCACUUACAUAGGACCGAAUACCACUAGCUCACUCGAAGGUGAGGCACAAAGAAAUAUAAUAAAGCAUAAUACCACAAAUUUAAGAAGUAUUAGUAGUAAUUACAUUAUCGGAGUUCAAAAGCAGUAACAAUAGUUUUUAGUGUAGCGCAAAUAACAAAUGGAGAAAACUGAGUAACAUGGCGAAGCCUGGCCACGCUACUCCUCCUGGUCCUCUCCUGCAGAAGCAGUAACCCUCUCAACCAUCUAUCGUGGUGGUAGGGAUGAAGGACAAGUCACACCAGCAACCAAAUCAUCCAAGGAGUACAUACAAAAAUUAUGCACCAAGCAAGGCUGAGUAAACUAAUACUCAGCUAGACUUAACCGGUGUGAGGUGUCUACUCCUCUACCUCUAGACCAUGAAUCUGUUUGGCUAAGGGUUUUGGUUUGCCAAAAGCACUAGCUGAGUCUAAAAUCAAGUUUUAGCUUUUCAAGUUCUAGAAUAAUAAUUUAGACUAGAUGAGCACCUAACUAUCCAUACAUAUUAUCAAGCAAUUUAGUCAACUAACAUCUUUUGUAAGUAACCUCAUUUCCACUUAUUACUCAAUGCAGUACAAUGGAUCAAGUAGUUGCAUUAGCUGCGAGAAGCAGACGAUUCGAAUCGAGUUUUAACCUUGCAAGGUAAACCUAAACACACGACAUGUAAGGGCACUCCGUCCCCACACACGUCAGUCGUUCCCAUCGAUUCCCUGGCAACAGAACAGGGCUCACGGCCUUAGCGUACAAUGCUCCAAUUUUCCCCGGCCGCUGCCGUGCAACGGCCACACUUGUACCCACCAUAAUCCGGCAUGGGAGACUCCGUCUCAGGUCGAGUGAGGAGUAAAGUCUGCAGGCAGGUUCAAUCAGGUACUAGGAUUAUCGGUUACCAUAUUUCCCGACAUGUGUUUAGUACGUUCAAAUGCUUGACACAAGUAUCCGCACGUUAAUCCUUAUUCCAAUUUCGUCUCGUAGACAACGCAUCCCCAUGGAUCCGUGUCCAUAGACCAUCAUCAUUUCGUUAUCAAAAUGGAUACAACCAAUUCCUGACCUCGCGCGAGUUCUAGAAAAAUCACUCGACUUCUACUGAGAUCCUGAUUUAGCAUAGCAGCUACUCGACCUAGCAUACUAGUAUCCAUCUCAAAAAGGAAUCCUGAGUUUAUGCAACUAGGGUUUCAGGCAACUCCUACACAUAAGUGCACGAUACAAGCCUACAAACAUUAAGUGCAGUAAAAUAGCAUAUAUGACGAUUAUGCAUAAAACCGGGGCUUGCCUGGAAUUCAACACUAGAUAGUGUUUGCUAGAUGACACUGGCUUGGCGAGCAUCCACUGGUCAUGUCCAUCCUUCAUUAGAUUGUCCACCAACUGCAUCUUGUUGUUGGCACCACAUCACUUGCACGAUCAUCAUCUCUCGGUCCUAAAUGAGAUGCAGGAUGCAUAUGUAUGAAUAUGAUGGAAGUAGCACAAGAUACUCCAAGUACACGGCAGCGAACUAACAUUAACUAGUAAGACACAUAAACAUCCGUACGUUAACGCUAGCUAUCUAUAUGUCAUUGGGUACAACAAGUCAACAUUACUGGAAAGACAACGAACAUUUCCUAUAUUUGACCAACACAAACACAACAUCACGAGUAGAAACAUUUACCAUGUUCACUUUAAUCGUUCAUUGGCUACUUAUUAUUAAACUAGGUAAGUACACAUAAAUUUAUGAUGACUUACACAUAAACAAACUUAGUUAAAAAGGAAUAGUUACUUAAUUGGGUUUUACAAUCAUUCACAACAUUCUACUACAAGCAUACACCCCAGAGAACAUACAUGAGGAGAUAGUUUAAUCACAAUUACAAAUUAUACUAUGUUGGGGGCCUCCUCCUUCCGAAGGUCCUCAAAAACAUGACUAACCAUAUGUUUUCAGUAUGAUAUAGACUAUUACAGAAGGCUUCGACUUUGGGAUGAAGGUUCUCUCAUGAUAAAGGUGUGUGUUAUGAAGAUACAACCCGAAGGUGACAUGGAUGGACGCCGAAGUUGUGGCUAAAGGAGCUUCAGCUUGUUAUGAUAACAAAGAUGAAGGAUGAAACCGACCUAAGGCGGAAAAGACUAUUUAGUCCUUGAUAACUCGUAUUAUACUUAAGAGUGAAUGUCAGGGGCAUGAAUGUAAUCUUCUCCGGGCUGCGACCAGUGCCUAUAAAUAGAUGAACAGUAACACCGUACUGUUCACGCUGGACUGUAAUCUCUCUCUGGAGUCAUCUUUUCAUUCCCACCUUCUGGAGAACUAAAGGUACCAUUGUAUUAUAAAUAUCAUUAAUAUGUUAAUUCUUGUAUAUGAGUACGAAUUUAAAUAAAUUGUGAAGACCUGAUCAUUAUCUUUUAUUCUUUAAUGUUCUUUCACAUUCUUAUUUAUAUUUAUAUUCAUAUUUAUAUACCGAGAUGAUGAAGGUAUGUCCUUCAUGACCUUCGUCUGAAGAUCAUUAUAUCCGAAAGGAAAUAAUGCUUUGAAGGACGAAGUUCUUCAACCAUUAACAAUUAUGUUGCCUUGUUCUUGUUCUAUGCAUUUGAGAACAAGUGACCAACAUUGGUGCCCACCUCCGGUGUACUCACUUCCACAACCUUCGGCAAAGCAUCAACUAUUUAUCCAUGUCCUUGGCUGCUCCCGCUCCACUGCUAGCUUCGGGAGAACGAUCAACUGCGAUGUUCAUGGAAGGAGGGGCUCCAAAGAGAUCCAACUCCCCAUAAGGUCCUCUGCUAGCUGCUCCUGAUGUUCUGGCUCCCAUCGCCGCAACCUCCGGUUGCACGUUCGGAUCCAACUGGUCAUAUAGCACGUGCACUUCCUCAUGCAGAUUAUUGUUAUGCGCUUGCAGAUUUUCCAGGGCUAAGCUUAGCUCUUCCACCCGAGCUCGGGCAGUCGCCUCGCAAUCCAAGGCUAUAGAUCGUGAAUUUAUAGCCCAGUCUAUAGCCCUAUCUCGCUCCACAAUCUCCCACUGCAAAUGGUCAACCUCUACUGACAACUCAGCGAAGCGGCGACUAUCACGCGCACGCUACCUACUUCUAUGUCUCAGUUCCAUCGUUAGAUGUUCAGCUCUGGCCUCCAGACCCCCUAUAGGAUCAUUACUCCCACUACUACUCUCCUCAUGUCGAGGAGCCAAUUGGUGCCGAGGUACACCCUGAGGUCCGGUUGUCGUCCGCUAGGUAGUCUUCGUGUGUGCCAUGCCUCUAUAAGAGGGGAAGAUUACUUAGUAUUGUGUAAAUAUGAUGCAUGCAUGACCUACGAUUACGAAAUCAACCUUUGGUUGAUCCCAUACCUCCUAGGUAUAGCCUAUUAUUUGGCACUCUUUUACCCGACUUCAAAAGAUAAGUUACUAUAAGAAAGGAUCAAGGUAAGAAUGAAGGAUGUUCAAAGAUAAGUAUUUUAAAAUCUUUUGAAGCACUAAGUAAUGUCCGAAGAAAUGGGCUUCGCUCCGAUACCAUCUAUCACAGAACCUCCCAAGGUAUUAGGCCCACCCAUAGAUGUCCUUGUCCUUAGGACCUCAGAAAGUCAUGCAGGUGCGCUCAAUGGCUUGGCAGGUCCGAUUACCUGUAUCUCCAUCAUAUCGCCCAAGAGCGCUUAUCCUAUCACGAAGACAUUACACACCAUCAGAGUAAGCGGAAAGGAUUACAAUAACAUAAUUUAUAUUCAUAAGUAAAAUAUAGAAAGAGUUGAUUAUUACAUAUCCGGGUACAGAGUGCUUAAACUUAUUAUUACAUCAUAGGAAGGAAAAACACCUUCCUCAGGUAAUUCUUAGGGCCCGUUUGGCAAAGCUCCAACUCCUGAUUCUUUAGCUCCAGAUCCUGAUCCUCGUGAGGAGCUGAUCCUCCUGAUUCUCCUGGAAAAUCAGAAUCAUUUUUAAAACCGUUUGGUAAGUAAAUUGAUUCUUGUCUUCUGAGAGUUGGUGGUCUGUGGCGAUUGUCUGUUUUACCCUUUGCAGUUCAAUUUUGUUACAAACCAAUAAGUAGGAUGCAUAUACGGAAAAAAAUAUGAAACAAUAACAUAUAAAAUAUUCCCAUUAUAAUAGUGCAUAAAAUGGUCUCAAAUGUUUAAUCCAUAAAUUGGCUCGUUAUGUUUUUGUCCAAUGGCAAUUGCGGGUAAUUUCGAUCAAACUUUAAGGGGAAGUCCAUAUUUGGUUGGUUGAGGAGCUGUUUUAAGGGAGGGUGGAGCAGGUUUUUUUAGAUCCCACCUUUCUUCACAAAAACGACUCCCGAUCUUUCGGCUCCACACGAGAAUCAGUUUAAAAAAAUACCCGUUUGGCACGGCUCCUCCAGAUCCUCGCUUAGAAUCAGGAGCUGGAGCUGUGCCAAACGGGCCUUUAGUUCUCCUCCUUCCUGCUGGGAACCACAUUGGAACAGAAACAACAUAACUCAGCAGUUUCAUCACCUACAACAACAUGGGUUUGAAAACCCUAAGUACAGAGUGUACUUUUGCAAGUCUUACCCGUCAAAGGAAAAAGACUCUCAAGGAUAUCCUGGCCUUUGGGAAUCAAGGUAUAGUUUAACAAGAUUCAAAGACUAUUUUGCAGAAAAGCUCACUAUGAGUGGAUCCUUAAAAAAUCAUUUUACUUGUCAGGUUAAGUAGUUACCUGCAUCUAGAUUUCUUUCUAUUCUAGAUCAAGCAAUUGGCCUAUACUAGCCAUCUUUUAAUCACCCUUUACUUCACUUGUUGCUACUUGUAGGUGAGUGAUCAAGUCUUCAUGUCCGAGAAGUAACAGCGAUCCGAAUCGAUUAAUACCCAACUGGGGAUCUCCAACCACACAACAUAUGUAGCACUUAACCCUUGCAUAUGUCAACUCGCACUCGGGUUUCUCAAGACCAGAAUGGGUUCACGCCAACCAAGAGCACAGAUACCCCACCGUACAGCCUCUUGCCAAAGAGGGUACACACUACUCUCACCAUCUCUCCACUCCCAUUGAGUGGUGGCCUUUCUGGUAUUGGUCCAACCGAGGCAAAGCUUACCCAUGAUGAGGCAUGUGGCUAGUUAAAAGGUCCUCGAUCAUCAAGUCUACAUCGGCUCGGUCCUUAACCGACUCAGACGGAGACACUAAACAAGACUUCCUUCUGAUGCAAGUCACCCGCCCGGUACCAUCUUUAUUACUUAAAACCCCAAAGUUUGGUACCUGGCAGAGGUACUUCUUUUCAUAUGUUGAACCCGUCACGGCCGUCAUGGAUCCACCAUCAUCAGUCUUUUCUUUGUAAAAAUUCCCAUACCAUGUGAAGUAUCACCUUUUUCAAAACAAAACCUUUUGUUUUCUAUAGCAGUCUAAGCAUUAGAAAACUUGAUUAAAUAAAACAGGCAAACAAGGAAUGGUAAUUGUUGGGGACUUGUUCUCAACUGCUAUGAAUUAAGAACAAGGCAAUACGAAAUGUUGAAUGUUAAUGCCCUUCAUCCUUCGAAGCAUUAUUUCCCUUAGGAUAUAAUGAUCUUCAGACGAAGGUUAUGAAGGACAUACCUCCAUAAUCACGGUAUAUGAUAAUAAAAGAAGAAGCAUACGAAAUAUAAAAGACAACAUAGACAAUCAUAUAACAUUAUCAAUUCAUUCUCAAUAUAUUAUCAUGGAAAGACAGAAACAAUAUUGAAUUACAAAUGUACCUUCGGCUUGAUAGAAGAUAAAAGUACAAGCAUGACGCAUAAACGAGUACAAGUCAGCGUGAACAGUACGGGGGUACUGUUCAUCUAUUUAUAGGCACAGGACGCAGCAUGUGUGAAAUUACAUUCAUGGCCUUCAUGUUUACUAUUGAAUUAUAGACAACCCAGUGGGGACUAGAUAGCCUUUUCCCCUUUAAGUCGGUUCCUUUUUUCGCCAUUGAGCCGAAGCUCCCUUGCACGUAGCUUCGGAGCAACAUCAGCCUUCGUCACGACCAUGCUCUUCACAUUGUAUAUACUUUUAACCCAUGUCCAAAGGUACCUGUUCAUAUGUCACACUUGGAAGACAUUGUUAAAUCAUGUUUUUGAGGACCUUCGGAAGACGAAGGCCCCCAAUAGUAGCCCCUCGCAGUAUUAAUUUGUUAAGAUAACAAAUUUAGACUGCGACAUGGACGAAGGCCUUAAGCCGAAGGACCGAAAAAACACCUUCCCUUUGCUAGAAUAGCAACAGUCAAUGACGGACGAGGCCCCCCAAUUUGGAGCGCGCUAAGCGUAUAAAUAAGAACUCACACCAGCUACAUUUGAUACGCUGCUUGUGCCAUUUGCUUUAUUUUCUCAAUUUUAUAGCUCUUGCCCACUAGCGCUUGCUAGUUUUUCAAGCUUUCUGAGCUUCGGCUUGAAAGACGCAUUUUCAUCAUUUCUGAAGAAGAAAUGUCUCAAGACAAGAAGGUUGCUGCUGAGACGAAGCUGACUGAAGAGGAGAAGGUUUUUGAGGAGAAGAAGACUUUGGAUUCUUAUAUUGCUGGAUUUGCCGAGUCAAUGGCAAAAACAAAUAUGGAGAAGAUCACUAAAGAAAUACAGGAGGGCAUGUCCGAAGAUACUGGUGACAGCGAUAGCUAUGACGUGGAAAGUGGGGACGAAGAUUCUGAGGAUCGGCCCUGGAGGCCAUGUCAUUCAAUCUUCGGAAAAUCGACCAUCAAACAGAGUCACCUCAAAAACAUGAGGGGAAAGUACUUUCGGAACAUGUCUAUCGUUAGGGCUGGCGGAGACAACAAUGUUCCUGCUCCUGUGGAGAACGAGGUUGUGAUUUUCUGAAGCUUCUUCAAGGCCGGGCUUCGGUUCCCUUUGAGUAAGUUUGUAGUUGAAGUGCUGAAGACGUUCCAAAUCUUUCUUCAUCAGAUUACCCCUCAAGCCAUAAUAAGGAUGGGGAUUUUUGUCUGGGCAGUAAGGAGCCAUGGGUUAGAACCUAGCGCAAAGUGCUUCUGCAAUAAGCACGAAUUUUUAUAUGAGACGAAGGCCACGGGUAAAGAACAGUACCACAACAAGUUCGGUUGUUAUGGAUUUAUCGCCCGCCCCAACGCAAGCCACCCAGUACCAACAUUUCAGAAGAGAUGGCCCGGAGCUUGGAUGGAAGAAUGGUUUUAUGUGAAAAAUGAUUUGAAAGGAAGAGAAGACAUUAAGGAAGUCAUUAUGCGCCCCAUCUGGUCCCGCUUCGGCCUCCGAAGGCCGAAGGUUGAAAUUGAUGAUGCCGCUGAAGCGUGUCAGAGGGCCUUCAGUACAGUCUGCUCCUUCAUUGGUACAAGAUAUUUAAUUCAGAGCAUAUAGCAUUCAGAGUAUGGCCACUUGUAGAAAGCUGAGAAAUGCCGAAGGAGACCAUUACUAUCUCUAGCGAAGGUGAUUUGGUCCGGCUGAAGUAUACAUUUAGGUUUGGGGAUAAGUUCGAUGAACCAAAUGACGACUGGCUAAAAUGUAUCGAAGCUACAAAUGAUGAACUGCUUGGAGCAUAUUCCAUGGCAGAAGAUAAUGCGCUGUCUGCAGCCUUCGGAGGUCGGGGAAAAAAGAGAAUGAACAGAGUUUUUGACGCCAUCGGCUUCGUCUACCCCGAUUACCGCUACCCGCUGCGGGGACACGGGAAGAACAGAAAGGCUGCUGCUUCAGUCGCCCCAGUUGAGCCUGUGCCGAAGGGCAAAAAGAUGAAGGUUCUUACCCACCGGUCGCGUUACAUUGAACCGGCCGUGGUGCCUGAGUUUGGCGGGGAGGCCUCUUCAGCUGCUGAAACAAGAGUGACUACUCCGAUUGCGCAGAGAACUGAAGAGCCGAUUGUAAUGCCAAAGUUACCUUCAGUUAAGUUGGUUGAGACGAAGGUUGAUAAGGAUAAGACUGAAGGGUCGAAAAUUGAAAAAAUAACAAAAAUGCCAGAGAUUUUGUGCCCGUCAACAGAGAUAACAGUGUCGAGAGCACAAAAUGGUUCUGCCGCAACUCCUAAGAGGAGAAGGAUGGCAAAUGUGUUAGAUGUUGUGUUAGAAACAGCAAAAUCCUUGAGUCCUGCUCCUUCAAGAAAAAUUGCCGAAGCUUCCAAAGCUCUACCCGAGGCUGAAACGAAGUAAGCAGAAGUCAAAGCUGCAAAAAUUCAAGCUGAAGCCGAAGCUGGGCCUUCAGAGCCCACUGAGACAGAGCCCGCCGUAGUUGAAGAAAAAGAGGCAGAGCAAAUUGCGUCUAAAAAGGUUGAAGCUGCUGCUACCAAAGCUUCAAAAGAAACCACUGAUUACGUCAUUCGUCAUGCUUCGGGGAAGAGACUUUCUCAAGAAGAGAAGUUUGAAGCGCUACACUAUGCCCAAAAAUUAAAAUACCCGAAGGGGGCAUUAGUGUUUAAUGGCAGUGGGGAAGAAGAUUUUCUGUACUGUCUCUCGGAUAAUAAAGAGAUAUCCGUCUGCCGGGAGAUAGGUAGAGGCAUCGGAUUCCCGAAGCUAGAAGAUGGCCUUUUAAUAUUAUCAAAGGAUGAGCUUGUUGACAGUUUGGCGUAUAAUAGCAUAAAGGUAUAAGAGUUAUAUCUAAACUUAAAAAUGGGAUAUUUUAUUUGUCAUAUUUAUUCUUUCCUCCAUUUGCAGGGCCUGAUUCUUAGUAAUGCACUAAGGGCCCAGAAAAACAUUAAAGAUGAAGGAUAUACAAUGGCUCUGAACAACCUUCGUUCAGAGGUAAUUAAAUUAAGGAACGAAGGUCUUGAAAAAGACAAAAUCUUGAUUUCAAUGGUGAACAAAGUGAAAGAAGAUGAAACUAGUUUCAAGGCUCAGGCCGAAAUCCAAAAGAAUGAAAUCGAAGACCUUCGAAAACAGUUGGCAGAAGCUAAGGAAAAAUGCGCUGUCGCAGAAGCUAACCGAGAGAGCAGCGAAUAUUGGAAAAAAUAUUUAGAGAAAACAGUUGAAGAACUUCGCGCCUCCAAAGAAAGAUGUUUUGAAAAAUCUUUAGGCUGCGUGGAAAAAAUAAAGGCUAGCUUCGCUAACGUGGGCGCCUAUUCUAACGAAGAUAACUUCAUACGAGGCGACCCAGAGGGUGUUAUCGAAUGGAUAAGUGGAGAGGCCGAAGCUUUCGAAGAAAUAUUAAGCGAUCGCGGGGAUGUCUGCGCGUUCUCUAGAGCGAGGGGAAUUUCAGCCAUCCUGGAGAAGGCGGGAUGCAACCAUGUCAAGACCCUGGCACAGGCCGAAGCUGCCUUCUCUGUGGAUGAUACAAAGGAUCCCUCAGCUGAAGCAAGUUUAAUGGGCGAGAAAUUUUAUAAUGACAUCUGGGUAAAUGGUGGCCGAGAGAUGGCUUACGAAAUUAUGAAGAAAAGCAAGAAAGACAUCCAUGACGCCCGAGUACAAGCAAAACACACUGAAAGAAGCUGCAGAGCGUGAGAGACGCAUAGGUAUUGUUUCAUGGCAUCUAGCUUCGGCAUUUGUUUUUGUAGCUUUAAUUUUUCCACUGUAGCUGAAUUAUCUCCGCCACCGGAACCGUUCGAUCCCCUGGCCGACCCAGAAAUGAAGAAAGCAAUGGAGAUCAUCAAUAUGGCCGAAUCCAUUAUUAACGAAGUUGUUAACAAGUUGCUAAAUGAAGUUGCGGAGAAGGUCCUGAAAGAGGACUAGUACUUAUUGUAAAACAUUUUUAGAUGAUCAAUGUAGCUUUGUUGUAAUCAAGACUGUAAUAUUCAAUGUGUAUAUCUUUGAAUCUACUAUGUAAAUUAUUUGUAAUUCACUUCUUUGCGAAGCAUGAAACUUUAUACGUACUUUUUUUGAGCCUUCGGUGAAAAAACACCUUCCCUUCUUUUCAUGCUUCGUAAAUAAAAAGAUCCAUGCUUUGUGAAAAUAUCCAUGCUUCGUGAAAAUAUCUGUGCUUCGUAAAAACAUCCUUGCUUCGAAAACAAAGGGUCCCUUCUUUUGCAAUAGAGCUGAUGAAACUGUAUUUCUUAGUUUACUUUGUGCCUUAGCACAUUUUCAUUUCAUAAAACAUUCUUCCGAAGAUCGGCUUCGUAUUCAAUUCGUGUCAUUGGUGCGAUAUGAUGUAUGAUGUGAUGCUAUGCAUGAUGAUGUGAUGACAUGAUGCAAAGAAUGAUGGUAAUGCUGAAGACACACACCCACAUGCCCACACUGAAACACAUAAUCUCUGCGUCCCCUUAGGAACGAUUGAUAUCUCUUUGCCGUUUAUUUUUCGACUUCACUGCUUAUUUUUCGGUGUAAGUUCUGCAUCCCCUUAGGAACGUCUUUUGAACUUCUUCGCCUUAUAUUUCGGCGGUAUUUGGCUCUGCAUUCCUUUUGGAACGACUUUUGAGCAGAAAACUUACGCUGCGGUCCCUUAGGAAUGACUUUUUGCAGCUUCGGCAAAACUUACACUACGCUCCCUUAGGAACGUAUUUUUGUAGUUUCGGCGAUUUUUAGCUCUGCAUUCCCUUAGGAACGACUUUUGAGCUUCGGCAAUUUUUGAGCUUCGUAAAUCUAAGAUAUAUUUCAAUCUGAUAGAAGAAAAACUAUUACAAGGAAUUAAAACUGAAUUUACAUUGAUUGUUCCUUAUUGAAAAACAUAAUUGCAUAGAACAUAAAGGUAUUUCGGGGGUAGGAUAUCGCUCAAUAGAUGUGCUUUGAUUCUGGCACAGUACUGUUGACUGUGCGAGCUUCGGAUUCCUCCCUGAACUCCCGUUGCUGUUGAGUGUGCUGGUGUAACACUCCAGGUUCCACAAACAACCCGGUAUGCUACUGUACUACACUUCUGACGUCCAUAUAUAAAAUUUCGGCAGCAUCCCCUUUGCAAGAUUGCAUAAAAGAGGGAGCAACAGAGUAUAAACAUAUAUCAUGACUAAAACAUACUAAGUAUUAUUACUCGGCUAGCAAGGAAAGAUAAACAUAUGACCUGAACUGAAUUAACAAGUGCGCACGACCAUAUAUAAAAAAAAUAAACAAACUUCCUUUGACAAUAAGUUUCUAAUUAAAUCAUGGCUGCGCCUGGGUAGCGUUAUUGUGAGAGUGAAAGUGGACGUGCUGCUACUCCCCUCAUUCCCAACAUGUAUCAAGUACCUGCAUUGAGUAAUGCAAGAGUGAGAUGACACAUCUCAGCAAGUAAAAUAAUAUCAAACAGUUUAACCACAUAAGAACAUUGUUUUACCACCACUUAAUUCCACAACCUUCUUAUUACGAAGGUGCAGCACGUAUACAACGUAUAACGCACCUAGUUACCACACCUCGCAGGUAGAAACCACAAUAAUAACAUAGUAAUGUCACACUUCAUAUAUUCCUCAUGAGUGCAAAUGUCUGCAAAUGCAAGGAUGACUUCUGCCUUCAUACCUCUAAGGAUAUGAAGCCACAUCGUACCCCUCCUCGGGCAACGUACGAUGCUAAAAAUGUACCGGUACGGUCGGAACAUAAGAUCACGACAUAACUUCAAAAUGCAAGAUGGAUGAUGCGAUGUGCAUGUCAUGCCUACAACACUUCAUAUAACAUGAUUCAAAAAGACACUUCAACUUCAUCCAGAUGGGAAUCAACCACAUAUAUCAUUACCAAAUUAUGGUCAUCCACAAUAUUAGACAAUUGAGAAUUAAUACUUCCAAACAAAUAAACUUCAUCAUAGAAUUCAAUGAUUAACAUAAUUAAAACUUAUGCAUACUCAAUGACAGGGAAUAGGAUGCAAACCAAACGGUAGCAACCACCACUGUAUUUACUUGCCUUUACCGGAAGUUCGGGCAAAUCCCUAAGUACGAUCCGGAAGUCCACCACCU
rnacentral:lncRNA from 1 species